rnacentral:rRNA from 1 species
UAGGUUGAGCCUACGUCGGAUUAGCUAGUUGGUGGGGUAAAGGCCUACCAAAGCGACGAUCCGUAGCUGGUCUGAGAGGAUGACCAGCCACACUGGGACUGAGACACGGCCCAGACUCCUACGGGAGGCAGCAGUGGGGAAUCUUGGACAAUGGGGGAAACCCUGAUCCAGCGAUAUCCGCGUGUGUGAAGAAGGCCUUCGGGUUGUAAAGCA